CCACGCAAGCCCACCGCGCGCGGCACCAAUCCGCGCAGGCCCAGACCCGCGCUGCGGCCUCCCGGCGCGCGUCGCACGGUCUGGCACGAGGCGCACGAACCACCUGGCGGUCCGAGGCUACGGGCUAACGGGCGCCUCAGUUGCUGCCAGGGCGCCGAUCUGUUUAUCCCCUCACCUUGGGCUUUUAACCCCGCGCCCCGCUUGGUUUUGAGAGGUUUCUGUGCUCGAGCUAUUUGAGGCAGGCCCUCUUAACAAUAGGAGUGGCUCGCGGCCUACGCGUCUGAGAGCUUCCAGGGCGCUGGACGGAAAAGCUAAAGCAGCCGAGUGGGAAGUGAAUCUGAAGCAGAAGCACAGGACCAGGGAUCUGUUAAGAGUUAGGGAUUUUUAAAAUGUGGUAAUUGAGUGCAUCUGAAUUUCUUGAUGAAGACAUAUGUGCUGCAUGUGAGAGUCAUAGACUGGAAGACAAUGAGGUCCUAGCAUUUUGUAUCCUUCACACAAUGGAACUUUAAUCCUCCACUUUUUGUGUUUUGUAUUGUUAUCACUUUAUUAUUGCUGGGUUUGGGUGAAAUUAGUGUGAAAGAAUUUGUUAUUACAACUAUUAAAAUUUGAGGCUGAAAUGA